CCGGUCCUGUACACUACUACGCCAAUGAACUCAGUCCAGCAGUGUCGCACCAACACAUCCACACCAGACGACAAGGACAAAAGGAAUACACACCAAACCUUUUACCGGCAAAGAGGGGAGAGCCAGAAGGGUCCAAGUAGGAACCCUUCCCCCUUUACCUUCACACACCUCCCACCUACUUCAAAGCUUCUCCUACCAGCAACAAAAGAGGCAGGUUUGAACCAAAUGGCACUCAGACUUGUGCCAGAGACAGAGAAACUGUUGGGUGUCGAAGAAGACUGAGGAUGACUACGGCUCAGUCAAGGAGCUUCUCCAUUGGAAAGCAACAAACUGCACACAAAGUGCCUGAAAAACUAUUAUUUCCUCAUGGAAACAAAGUAUACAGACUUAAAAUGACAUGGUUAAAAGUGUUGCGGUGUGUGUAUAAUAAGACAUUGUAUUUAGGAUGUGGAUUAUAUAUUUUCUUAAUAAUUCACAGGCAUUACACCCCACUAAUUCACAGGCAUUACACCCUUACUAAUUAAACAGGCAUCACACCCCCACUAAUUAAACAGGCAUUACACCCCCACUAAUUCACAGGCAUUACACCCCCACUAAUUCACAGGCAUUACACCCCCACUAAUUAAACAGGCAUUACACCCCCACUAAUUAAACAGGCAUUACACCCCCACUAAUUAAACAGGCAUUACACCCUCACUAAUUCACAGGCAUUACACCCUCACUAAUUCACAGGCAUUACACCCUCACUAAUUCACAGGCAUUACACCCUCACUAAUUCACAGGCAUUACACCCUCACUAAUUCACAGGCAUUACACCCUCACUAAUUCACAGGCAUUACACCUUCACUAAUUCACAGGCAUUACACCCCCACUAAUUCACAGGCAUUACAGCCCCACUAAUUAAACAGGCAUUACACCCUUACUAAUUCACAGGCAUUACACCCUUACUAAUUAAACAGGCAUUACACCCUCACUAAUUCACAGGCAUUACACCCCCACUAAUUAAACAGGCAUUACACCCCCACUAAUUAAACAGGCAUUACACCCCCACUAAUUAAAAAGGCAUUACACCCUCACUAAUUCACAGGCAUUACACCCCCACUAAUUCACAGGCAUUACACCCCCACUAAUUCACAGGCAUUACACCCUUACUAAUUAAACAGGCAUUUCACCCCCACUAAUUAAAUAGGCAUUACACCCCCACUAAUUCACAGGCAUUACACCCUCACUAAUUCACAGGCAUUACACCCUCACUAAUUCACAGGCAUUACACCCUCACUAAUUCACAGGCAUUACACCCUCACUAAUUAAACAGGCAUUACACCCCCACUAAUUAAACAGGCAUUACACCCCCACUAAUUAAACAGGCAUUACAACCUCACUAAUUCACAGACAUUACACCCCCACUAAUUAAACAGGCAUUACACCCCCACUAAUUCACAGGCAUUACACCCUCUCUAAUUCACAGGCAUUACACCCUCUCUAAUUCACAGGCAUUACACCCACUAAUUCACAGGCAUUACACCCACUAAUUCACAGGCAUUACACCCUCACUAAUUCACAGGCAUUACACCCCCACUAAUUCACAGGCAUUAGAACCUCACUAAUUCACAGGCAUUACACCCCCACUAAUUAAACAGGCAUUACCCUCACUAAUUAAUUGAUUCUGUAGCAAAAGUACAUUCUUCUGCCAAAAUCUUCAUUAACCAUU
rnacentral:lncRNA from 1 species